rnacentral:rRNA from 1 species
GUGGGGAAUUUUGGACAAUGGGCGCAAGCCUGAUCCAGCAAUGCCGCGUGUGUGAAGAAGGCCUUCGGGUUGUAAAGCACUUUUGGCAGGAAAGAAAUAGCGUGUGCUAAUACCAUGCGCGAAUGACGGUACCUGCAGAAUAAGCACCGGCUAACUACGUGCCAGCAGCCGCGCUCAGACGUAGGGUGCAAGCGUUAAUCGGAAUUACUGGGCGUAAAGCGUGCGCAGGCGGUUUUGUAAGACAGGUGUGAAAGCCCCGGGCUCAACCUGGGAACUGCACUUGUGAAUGGAAGGAUAGAGUGUGUCAGAGGAAGGUGGAAUUCCGCGUGUAGCAGUGAAAUGCGUAGAGAUGCGGAGGAACACCGAUGGCGAAGGCAGCCUCCUGGGAUAACACUGACGCUCAGGCACGAAAGCGUGGGGAGCAAACAGGAUUAGAAACCCUGGUAGUCC